GCUAGGGUGUGCAAGUGAUCACAAGCUAAAUAAUAAUGCUAAAUAAUAAUCUUAUAAUAAUAAAUUAUCUACUCUCUAGGAAUAGAGUGGUUUCGGAGGUUUCUUGCAUGUUGCCAUCUGUCUGUCCAAACUCCAGAGGCAACAUCCCUGGGAAGGGCUACAGCCUUCAAUAAAACUACAGUAGGGGAGUUCUUUGACAAUCUGGCUGUAGUGAUGGACAGGCACACAUUCCCUCCACACAUGAUUUACAAUGUAGAUUAAACCGGCGUCUUUACAGUUCAAAAGCCACGACAGGUUGUGACAGAGAAAGGAAAAAAGCAAGUUGGUUCUAUCACAUCAUCUGAGAGGGGAGAACUAGUGACUGUGGUGUGUGCAGUGAAUGCUGCUGGGAAUGCCAUACCUCCUAUGUUUGUCUUCCCCAGAGUUAGGUUUAAGGAUGACUUCCUGAUAGGAGCACCUCCAGGAGCCAAAGGUGCCUCCACCAGAACAGGAUGGAUGAAUGAAGACAAGUUCCGAUUAUGGGUCCAUGUUCUGAGACCCAGACUGUGCAUUAGCUGGUUCUGCUUGUACUUUGCUCUUGACACCCAGAUACUAGCUAAAGGUCCUGUGCUAUGAUUCUCACACUGUGAAUGUUAAUUAAAACAUUUUGAAGUAUA